UGCAGUCGAGGGGUAACAUGAGUACUUGUACUUGAUGACGACCGGCGCACGGGUGCGUAACGCGUAUGCAAUCUACCCAUUACUGGAGGAUAGCCCGGGGAAACCCGGAUUAAUACUCCAUAGUAUACUAAAGUCGCAUGGCUUAAGUAUUAAUGAUUUAUUGGUAAUGGAUGAGCAUGCGUAUCAUUAGUUAGUUGGUAAGGUAAUGGCUUACCAAGACUUCGAUGAUUAGGGGGCCUGAGAGGGUGAUCCCCCACACUGGUACUGAGACACGGACCAGACUCCUACGGGAGGCAGCAGUAGGGAAUAUUGGUCAAUGGAGGAGACUCUGAACCAGCCAUGCCGCGUGCAGGAAGACGGCCUUAUGGGUUGUAAACUGCUUUUGACAGGGAAGAAAACGGCUAUGCGUAGCUAACUGACGGUACCUGUAGAAUAAGCACCGGCUAACUCCGUGCCAGCAGCCGCGGUAAUACGGAGGGUGCAAGCGUUGUCCGGAUUUAUUGGGUUUAAAGGGUGCGUAGGUGGCCUAUUAAGUCAGUGGUGAAAUUUUGCAGCUUAACUGUAAAAGUGCCAUUGAUACUGGUAGGCUUGAGUAUUGUUGAGGCAGGCGGAAUUUGUGAUGUAGCGGUGAAAUGCAUAGAUAUCAUAAAGAACACCGAUAGCGAAGGCAGCUUG
rnacentral:rRNA from 1 species